GCAUGAGGAGUCCGGCCAGCCCGUGCCCACAUCCUGCGAAACGGUGCAUGCAGUCGACAGCGGCAGGUCUCAGGAUCUGAAUAUUCCGCAACUGCAGGAACACCGACACACGAGUCCACGUAACGCAAUAGACGCUCAGCAGGUUUCCUAUUUCAUCUAUCGAUAUCUCUCUAUAUCUCUCUACCUCUUCACCUAUCCACCUAUAUAUAUAUAUAUAUAUAUAUAUAUAAAUAUCUGGCAACAGCGCAGAGAGAUGAAACGCUGCGACUGUAUGUGCGGGAGAACGCACUACACACGGGGAAGCAUUUUAUCUGAGGACUCGAGAAAGGAGAGUAGGCGGACGAGGAAUGGGGAGACAGUCGACAAGCGGAAGGCCGAAGAGGAUCAGGUGGUCGGCAGGAGGACCGGGGCCGAGAGCCGAGAAAAGGGUAGCGCAGGAUACAGGCUGGAUCGCGACACUCCGCAUACACGCCGGAAUACGACGGACAGUUGCUUUCUGAAGGCUGAUGAAGAAUCGAGUCGUCUGUAUUCAUUGGAAGGGGACGCAAAUGAUCCCGGCGAUCCAGAACUCUACAACACAAAUCGAACAAAGACACUAUAGGAUCUGGGACAUGAGAGAGAGAGGACCGUGUGUGGUCGGGGCGCGCACGCACCGAGGUCAAGAACGUGUGCAUCUUGGAAAUUCGCCGGGUUCAACUUCAGGAGAAACUUAACGAGAUCCCAAGUGCAUUCCCAAAGGGCGAAGCCACCUUCGUAUUUUCCCUCAGUCACCUGCGGAACAAGACAAAAAAAGAGGCCGCAUUCGCUGCAAGCGCUUGUCAACCGGAAAAGGCCGCACGCAGGCGGAGGGUCGUGUUUCGACAGCAGGGAAACACGGAAGAGAGAAGGGUGCCAGGUUGAAGUGCGAGGCGUUCCAGGAAUCGUGAUCCCCUCUGGUCUUCGAAUGGGAAGCAGAGAGACGCG
rnacentral:lncRNA from 1 species